rnacentral:tRNA from 1 species
AAAAUUUUAGUUUAUAUAAAACCUUUUAUUUACAAUAAAUUUAACUAGAGUGUUCUAGAAAUUUUU